rnacentral:rRNA from 1 species
UACGGAGGGUGCGAGCGUUAUCCGGAAUUACUGGGCUUAAAGGGUGCGUAGGUGGAUUAGUAAGUCAGUGGUGAAAUCUCCGGGCUUAACCCGGAAACUGCCAUUGAUACUAUUAGUCUUGAAUACCGUGGAGGUCAGCGGAAUAUGUCAUGUAGCGGUGAAAUGCUUAGAUAUGACAUAGAACACCAAUUGCGAAGGCAGCUGGCUACACGAGCAUUGACACUCAGGCACGAAAGCGUGGGGAUCAAACAGG